CAGGCUUAACACAUGCAAGUCGAGGGGCAGCAUGGUCUUAGCUUGCUAAGGCCGAUGGCGACCGGCGCACGGGUGAGUAACACGUAUCCAACCUGCCGUCUACUCUUGGACAGCCUUCUGAAAGGAAGAUUAAUACAAGAUGGCAUCAUGAGUCCGCAUGUUCACAUGAUUAAAGGUAUUCCGGUAGACGAUGGGGAUGCGUUCCAUUAGAUAGUAGGCGGGGUAACGGCCCACCUAGUCUUCGAUGGAUAGGGGUUCUGAGAGGAAGGUCCCCCACAUUGGAACUGAGACACGGUCCAAACUCCUACGGGAGGCAGCAGUGAGGAAUAUUGGUCAAUGGGCGAGAGCCUGAACCAGCCAAGUAGCGUGAAGGAUGACUGCCCUAUGGGUUGUAAACUUCUUUUAUAAAGGAAUAAAGUCGGGUAUGGAUACCCGUUUGCAUGUACUUUAUGAAUAAGGAUCGGCUAACUCCGUGCCAGCAGCCGCGGUAAUACGGAGGAUCCGAGCGUUAUCCGGAUUUAUUGGGUUUAAAGGGAGCGUAGAUGGAUGUUUAAGUCAGUUGUGAAAGUUUGCGGCUCAACCGUAAAAUUGCAGUUGAUACUGGAUAUCUUGAGUGCAGUUGAGGCAGGCGGAAUUCGUGGUGUAGCGGUGAAAUGCUUAGAUAUCACGAAGAACUCCGAUUGCGAAGGCAGCCUGCUAAGCUGCAACUGACAUUGAGGCUCGAAAGUGUGGGUAUCAAACAGGAUUAGAUACCCUGGUAGUCCACACGGUAAACGAUGAAUACUCGCUGUUUGCGAUAUACUGCAAGCGGCCAAGCGAAAGCGUUAAGUAUUCCACCUGGGGAGUACGCCGGCAACGGUGAAACUCAAAGGAAUUGACGGGGGCCCGCACAAGCGGAGGAACAUGUGGUUUAAUUCGAUGAUACGCGAGGAACCUUACCCGGGCUUAAAUUGCAGAUGAAUUACGGUGAAAGCCGUAAGCCGCAAGGCAUCUGUGAAGGUGCUGCAUGGUUGUCGUCAGCUCGUGCCGUGAGGUGUCGGCUUAAGUGCCAUAACGAGCGCAACCCUUGUUGUCAGUUACUAACAGGUUCCGCUGAGGACUCUGACAAGACUGCCAUCGUAAGAUGUGAGGAAGGUGGGGAUGACGUCAAAUCAGCACGGCCCUUACGUCCGGGGCUACACACGUGUUACAAUGGGGGGUACAGAGGGCCGCUACCACGCGAGUGGAUGCCAAUCCCCAAAACCUCUCUCAGUUCAGACUGGAGUCUGCAACCCGACUCCACGAAGCUGGAUUCGCUAGUAAUCGCGCAUCAGCCACGGCGCGGUGAAUACGUUCCCGGGCCUUGUACACACCGCCCGUCAAGCCAUGGGAGCCGGGGGUACCUGAAGUGCGUAACCGCGAGGAGCGCCCUAGGGUAAAACUGGUGAUUGGGGCUAA
rnacentral:rRNA from 1 species